GAUGAACGCUGGCGGCGUGCCUAAUACAUGCAAGUCGAGCGAACAGACGAGGAGCUUGCUCCUCUGACGUUAGCGGCGGACGGGUGAGUAACAAGUGGAUAACCUACCUAUAAGCCUGGGAUAACUUCGGGAAACCGGAGCUAAUACCGGAUAAUAUAUUGAACCGCAUGGUUCAAUAGUGAAAGACGGUUUUGCUGUCACAUAUAGAUGGAUCCGCGCCGCAUUAGCUAGUUGGUAAGGUAACGGCUUACCAAGGUAACGAUGCGUAGCCGACCUGAGAGGGUGAUCGGCCACACUGGAACUGAGACACGGUCCAGACUCCUACGGGAGGCAGCAGUAGGGAAUCUUCCGCAAUGGGCGAAAGCCUGACGGAGCAACGCCGCGUGAGUGAUGAAGGUCUUCGGAUCGUAAAACUCUGUUAUUGGGGAAGAACAAAUGUGUAAGUAACUAUGCACGUCUUGACGGUACCUAAUCAGAAAGCCACGGCUAACUACGUG
rnacentral:rRNA from 1 species